rnacentral:rRNA from 1 species
GACGAACGCUGGCGGCGUGCUUAACACAUGCAAGUCGAGCGGAAAGGCCCUUUCGGGGGUACUCGAGCGGCGAACGGGUGAGUAACACGUGAGUAAUCUGCCCCUGGCUUUGGGAUAGCCACCGGAAACGGUGAUUAAUACCGGAUACGACCACUUCUCGCAUGGGAUGGUGGUGGAAAGUUUUUCGGCCAGGGAUGUGCUCGCGGCCUAUCAGCUUGAUGGUGAGGUAAUGGCUCACCAUGGCUUCGACGGGUAGCCGGCCUGAGAGGGUGGCCGGUCACACUGGGACUGAGACACGGCCCAGACUCCUACGGGGGGCAGCAGGGGGGAAUAUUGGACAAUGGGCGGAGGCCUGAUCCAGCAACGCCGCGUGAGGGAUGACGGCCUUCGGGUUGUAAACCUCUUUCAGCAGGGACGAAGCGCAAGUGACGGUACCUGCAGAAGAAGCACCGGCCAACUACGUGCCAGCCGCCGCCGUAA